GGUAUAAAGGUGAUCUGGCUAUGAUAGCUGUCAUCCCAUUAGGCAGGUGAUGUAGCUAAUCUGACUGGCUAGGCAUAUGUUCCCUUCUUCCAUGUUCCCAGAUCAUGUGUGUGUUUCCUGACAGGCUGUACAUGUGCUUGCAGAGAACAACCUUUCUCAAUAGAAGAUCCAUCUUGGGUCAAGGAUCUAUGAGAGGCUCAAUCCCUUGCUAGAACCUCCAAACAAAUUUUGGAAGUCCAUUUGUAGGAGAAUGCGGUCAAGUUUUCAGGAUUCUUGAUACGUCUAAAUCACUGGCUACAUUCAGCAGUCUGUCUUU
ensembl:misc_RNA predicted gene, 22477